UGCUCCCCGCCAGUUCAGGAGCCGGCCUGCCCGCCACCUCCCAGCCCCCCGGGCCGGGCCCCUCUCAGCUCACUGGCCUGGGCUGGACACGGUCCCAUGGGCUCUGGUUUCCAGGUUGCUCAAAGGCAGCACGGAGCCACCGUGAUGCCCAUGUUCCUGCCCGCAUGUCUCCAGCAGCCAUCCGGGAGGGCCUCACAAAAGACCAGGAAGAAUCAGAAAAGUCAAAGGAAACCCAGAACACAACGCACCCCAGCACUUCGCUGCAUGUGAAUGAGAAAAGGGCGCCCUUCUCCCAGAGGCUCUGAACCUGCUGCACCCUAACAAAGCACCCUAACAAAGGUGCAGACCCACAGCGUCUGUGGCAGGAGUGGCGCCCACUUAGAUACAGGGCCCGUGGGCAGCGCCCGGCCUCAACAACCAGGGAGUAGCCCUGGGGCCCAGCCCUCCUCCCGGUGAGCCUGGCUUCUCGUGGCCCCUCGAGGCCCGUCUCCCCCUGGGAGGGUGUCUCUAGACUGGAGCCCUGGCGAGGGGCGAGGCCAAGGUCACCCAGUGCUCACCAUGAGGAACUCCGUCUGUGGCUUGUCUGCCACCUCCUCCAGCACCUUCUCCAUCUGCCGCAGCUGCUCCAGGAUACUGGGAAGCCCUCUUGACACUAUUUGCCGAUGUGGCCCUCGCUUGCCCAGCGAGGAGGCACGUGAUUGGACUAUUGUCUCCCCUGGCCAGCGUCCAGGUUGGUCUCCUCCCUGGGAUAUCGUCUAGGGCGACUGCCCCGCCUGCUGCAGAAAAGGACAGGUCUGGUGUCUGUCAGUGUGAGGCCUCAAGGUACAGCGGGAUCAGGGC